ACAAAGUCUGCUUUCACUAAACAAUCCUUUUCCUACAAUCCAGAACUACCUGUUCACUGACCCUCGUAUUGGAAGAUGGUGACAUGCCAUGGAGCCUCACUAGUGAUCCUGUAUCUUCACUUGGCCUGGGUGAGCUGCCUACAGAAGGUGGAACAGAGCCCCCAGUCCCUGAUGAUCCGGGUGGGAGAGAGUACCACAAUCAACUGCAACUACACAGAAACUACUAAUGACGGGCUGCAGUGGUUCAGGCAGGACCCUGGGAAAGGCCUCACCUUCCUACUGUACAUAACUUCGGAGGAGAAGCAGAAUGGAAGGUUAAAAUCCACGAUCAGCAGGAAGGAGCUUCAUAGCUCCCUGCACAUCACUGAUGCCCAGCCUGAAGACUCAGCCACCUACCUCUGUGCUGUGGGAGCACAGUGAUCCCCAGGCACCUGCAGGCUGUGCACAAACCCUAGAGCUGAGACACAGACCCUUCCAGAGAGCACAUUGUGACACCCUAAAAGCAUAUCCAUUGCUUAUUUUCCCAGUGCCCAGAAGCAUUCUCAUUUUAGCUCCAUUUUAUGAUUCUUGGAUCAAACAUUUAUCUACUGCUUCCUGCCCUGGCUUCUGCAGCUAUUGGUAAUACAACAUUAUAGAACAUAACCAGGUCAAGCACUGAUGUAGCUAGUGGCCUGUUAAAAAUCACACCUCUUAAUUACUCAGUCUAGCCUCAUAGAAUAUGUUAGAGGUCAGCACUUAAGGACAGUGUCAUAACAUGUGAUUGGCCUGCUAAUGCUAACUUAAUGGAGACAUUUCUUUGUUCUGGUACAGAUGUCUGGUACACAUGCCCUACUUUCUAUCCCAUGCGAACUUUCUCUCCUGGUUCCAUAAGUGGCAUCUGGACCCUAGGCUCUAUCGCAAUCUAUAACUGACCUCAAAUACAUCCCAAAUUACUAAAAACAGCAAAUGCCUCUCAUGUGUGUUCUCUGAGCUCCUCCUUCCCUCCCCAUUCAUGAUCCUUUAAUCAUAGAAUUUAAUAAUUAAUUGAUUUUGUUAAUGGUCUUUUGAUUUAUUCAAACAAUUAGGUAAAUAAAAUAGCACAGCAGGGCUUAGACAACUAUGUAAAAGGCUUUCAAAUAGCAACCUCCGGGAUUUUUUUUUAUUUUGCAACUUGAAUGGAAUCCCCAUUCCCUCACAUCCCUUCCUACCUUGUAGAAGAGGGGAAAUAGAUUUGAGUUGUAGGAGUGGCUAAGAUUUCCUCGGUAAGUGCUCUGAGGAAACAGAGGGAGGGGGAGCCCCUGGCGGCAUUUGGUCUUAUUGUGGCUAUUUUUCAGAACAUGCUUAUCUUGCCAGGCUCAGAGCUUCUCCACUCUGGUCUUUAUCCAUUCCACCAAUUCCUCUGACAUUCCAAGCUUUUCACCAAAUGCUCCACCUGGAUCAAUCUUUCUAUAAUCCUUACAUAUUAUACCCCUUCCCCAAACACUAUUCAGUCCAAUGAUGCUAGACUCUUUCCUGUUCUUUGAACAAGAUUCUCCAUCUCAUGUCUCUGGGCACUUUCUCUGGCUAUCCCCACUCCUAGAAGUCUCUCACUCCUCAUAUCUACCUCCUGGCCUCCUUCUCUGCCUUCAUAUCCCAGAUAAAAUCCUGUUUUCUAUGAAAAACCUUUCCUGAUUCCCCUUAAUGCUAAUGCCUUAACUGUGUUCAUUAUCUCUACUUUAUCCUGCACACGCCUUGAUCUUACAUAUUUGUUUGUGUGUCAUCUCCCCUGUGAGCUCCUUGAAAACAAAAACUGGGUUAUUUUUUGCUUUUGUUUAUAACCCCAGUGUUUAGCAAAGAGCGUAGCAUAGAGUAGGCCCUUACUACAUGUUUAUUGACUGCCUUCUUGUUGUUGUUCAUCCUUCAUUCUUGAAGAGGACCAAUGACAUCACAAGGGUGAUGUCCUGACUUGUGUGUGAAGUGGAUUCAAAUGAGGCAGAACUGCUCAAGGUCACCAGCCUCACUCUCUGCUCUGGAGGCAUCAGCAUCCUCAAUGGGAGAAGUCGUGAUGCAGAAGGGAUAAGUGUAUUAGGAAAUGAAGGUAUCAUAAAAUAGCAGUGCUGGCCUAUAUGUGUCCUCUGAGGCUUCCACAAAACUCCCCCCAAAUUCCCAUACCAAGGGGACCAAGUCUGUCAAGUCCUUUCCUAAAACUGGGACAGCUCUACCCUUCCACUCUUUCCCUAGAUAGUUGCAUAAGGUUUAACAAGCUUUCCCAUUUCCACCUGCCCCCUACUCCCAUGAUAUUCACUGCCAUUAACAAUUCUCUUGUAUUUCUCUGGUUCAAUUCUCUUAUAUCAAGUAAUGCAGAUUUCCAUUUGUCCAUUUAU